UACGGGAGGCAGCAGUGGGGAAUAUUGCACAAUGGGCGAAAGCCUGAUGCAGCUAUGCCGCGUGUAUGAAGAAGGCCUUAGGGUUGUAAAGUACUUUCAUCGGGGAGGAAAAAACAAAACUAAUAAUUUUAUUUCUUGACGUUACCCGAAAAAGAAGCACCGGCUAACUCCGUGCCAGCAGCCGCGGUAAUACGGAGGGUGCUAGCGUUAAUCAGAAUUACUGGGCGUAAAGAGCACGUAGGUGGUUUUUUUAAAGUCAGAUGUGAAAUCCCUGGGCUUAACCUGGAACUGCAUUUUGAAACUGAAAUACUAGAGUAUCGUAGAGGGAGGUAGAAUUCUAGGUGUAGCGGUGAAAUGCGUAGAUAUCUGGAGGAAUACCUGUGGCGAAAGCGGCCUCCUAAACGAAUACUGACACUGAGGUGCGAAAGCUGGGGAGCAAACAGGGAUUAGGAUACC
rnacentral:rRNA from 1 species